GCCCCGGCUGGGCGACGGGCCCCCGCUCCCUUACGAGGGGCCGCGCGCCCGGCUGCCCCUGCCUCCGGCGGGGUGUGAACCGGCCCGGCGACGCCAGCAAGGGCCGCCCUGGCCCCAGCGGGCGUGAAUUGGGCCACGCACUCGGCUGGCUGCAGGCAAAGUGCGGGGAUUUGCCAGGACAGUAGUAUAGUUCUGAUGAGCAAGCUAGCUCUCUUGCUAUCCCAGAGGCAAGAUUGAAGAAAAGGUUUGAAAGAAGCAAAGUACUACCGUGAGUGGCAGAACUGUCUUCGGGUGAAGAGGUAAACCUGCAUGGACCCCAGGCUGCAGAGGGCAAACAGGCAGAACUUUGACACAGCUCUGAAAGAGGCGGACAGCGCAACACAAUGGGGCAUCCCAUUAUGCGACAUCCUGAGGUUUUCACUGAAAACGCUGCUUCUGGUUCUUGCUUCAGGACAGAAAAGGCAGUAACUGGGUCAAUGACAAAAGUAUUAAACAGCUUAAGGCAAUGAACCGACCCCUGCAGAAUCUCACUAGCAACACCACGCACUCUCUAUGGGAGUGAACUGUCAGCACUUAAGGAUAACUGUCUCUUGAACAAGGUGGCAUGCACAUCACGGAGCUGGAUGGUAUUCUCCACCUCAUACCUGAAGACUAUUACUGGAUGAACUGUUCAUAGCAUUUUGGGUCUGAGACAGGAAAGAGCUACCUAAGCAAGUCAGGUAUUCUGCUCUCAGCAACUUGGGAGAAACGUGAUUGCUAGAUAAACAAGGAUGUUUUGACAGUUGCUUUCUUAAUGUGUUUCCAAACAGUUGAAAUAGCUUUUGGCCUGUGUUAGUCUUUUUUUUUUUUUUUAAAUCUUGCUAGUAUUUACACAAAUUAUUAAUUUAGAGAUGUAGAUGGAAGGAUUUAUUUUGUCUAGCCACACAAUCUCUUGAGGGGAGGGGUCUUUUAUUUUAAUGGGUUUCCAACUAUUUUAUUAACUUUAAAAACCCUUUCGUCCAAAUUUCUGAACUUGUUUCAUGAACCUAUUGAUGUAUGUUCAGAUACUGGAGGCCUAAGUUGUUUUUAAUUCAAGUCAGAACUAUGUUAGCAUAAGAAAAUGCUGCACCACAAGAAAAAAAUACAUAACCCACACAACGCUGCAUCAAGCUAGAAGGCCUGCUUAUACACCCCCCGUUCUUCUCUUUGGCCCAGUGAAGAGUGGAUUUCACAGAUGACAACUGCAAAACCACAUUAAGGGGAAGCUCCAGGCUGCCCACCCCACCCAAUGGAGAUGGAAAAGCUCUGUCAUUUAUAAACCU